rnacentral:rRNA from 1 species
AACGAACGCUGGCGGCAUGCCUAACACAUGCAAGUCGAACGAGACCUUCGGGUCUAGUGGCGCACGGGUGCGUAACGCGUGGGAAUCUGCCCUUGGGUUCGGAAUAACAGCGAGAAAUUGCUGCUAAUACCGGAUGAUGACGUAAGUCCAAAGAUUUAUCGCCCAAGGAUGAGCCCGCGUAGGAUUAGCUAGUUGGUGAGGUAAAGGCUCACCAAGGCGACGAUCCUUAGCUGGUCUGAGAGGAUGAUCAGCCACACUGGGACUGAGACACGGCCCAGACUCCUACGGGAGGCAGCAGUGGGGAAUAUUGGACAAUGGGCGAAAGCCUGAUCCAGCAAUGCCGCGUGAGUGAUGAAGGCCUUAGGGUUGUAAAGCUCUUUACCCGGGAUGAUAAUGACAGUACCGGGAGAAUAAGCUCCGGCUAACUCCGUGCCAGCAGCCGCGGUAA